GACGAACGCUGGCGGCGUGCCUAAUACAUGCAAGUCGAACGCUUUAUCUUUCACCGAGUGCUUGCACUCACCAAAAGAAGAAUAGUGGCGGACGGGUGAGUAACACGUGGGUAACCUGCCCACUAGAGGGGGAUAACCCUUGGAAACAGGUGCUAAUACCGCAUAAUUGUUUGAGUCGCAUGACUGGGACAUGAAAGAAGCUUUCGGGUGUCACUAAUGUAUGCACCCGCGCUGCAUUAGUUAGUUGGUGAGGUAAUGGCCCACCAAGACCACGAUGCAAAGACGACCAGAAAGGGUUAACGACCUCACUGUAAAUNAGACACUGACCAGCUCUUCGGGAGGCAGCAGAAAGAAUCUUUGGAAUGGACAAAAGUCUGACAGACAACGCCGCGGGACUGAAAAAAUUAUCAAUCCAAAAACCAGUUAUUAGANAAGACAAGGGGAGAGAAAAGAUACCGCCUUGCCAAUUUAACCAAAAA
rnacentral:rRNA from 1 species